UGGGGAAUUUUGGACAAUGGGCGCAAGCCUGAUCCAGCCAUGCCGCGUGCGGGAAGAAGGCCUUCGGGUUGUAAACCGCUUUUGUCAGGGAAGAAAUCCUUUGAGCUAAUACCUCGGGGGGAUGACGGUACCUGAAGAAUAAGCACCAGCUAACUACGUGCCAGCAGCCGCGGUAAUACGUAGGGUGCAAGCGUUGUCCGGAUUUAUUGGGUUUAAAGGGUGCGUAGGUGGUUGAGUAAGUCUGGUUUGAAAGUCAGUCGCUUAACGAUUGAGGGUGGCUGGAUACUGCUGAACUUGAAUGCCCUGGAGGUAGGUGGAACGGGUUGUGUAGCGGUGAAAUGCAUAGAUAUGCGGAGGAACACCGAUGGCGAAGGCAAUCCCCUGGACCUGUACUGACGCUCAUGCACGAAAGCGUGGGGAGCAAACA
rnacentral:rRNA from 1 species